rnacentral:lncRNA from 1 species
AUGCUCCAUCGUCAUAUCACUAAAUAUUAUCAGUGCCCUUAUUGCAACAAAGCUAGACAAGAUGUUCUUCACAUAAUUAGAGAAUGUACCAUGUCAUGUUAGAUAUGGAAUAACUUAAUUGACUCGACAUUUACCGAUAAAUUUUUCUUUCUUUCUUAAGGGUGCUAGAUCAAAUAGAACAUGAAGACUAGUGUUAACACAAUGGGAUUGCACAUUAGAGAACUAUUUUAAUUACUACGA